UGCGGAAGGAUCAUUAU
rnacentral:rRNA from 13 species